UACGGAGGGGGCUAGCGUUGUUCGGAUUCACUGGGCGUAAAGGGUGCGUAGGCGGCAGGGGAAGUUUGAUGUGAAAGCUCCGAGCUCAACUCGGAAAUGGCAUUGAAUACUAUCCUGCUUGAGGGGUGGAGGGGGGACUGGAAUUCUCGGUGUAGCAGUGAAAUGCGUAGAUAUCGGGAGGAACACCAGUGGCGAAGGCGAGUCCCUGGACAACACCUGACACUGCGGCACGAAAGCGAGGGGAGCAAACAGG
rnacentral:rRNA from 1 species